UAAUUAUAAUCUGGAAGCUGUUUAACAAUAAUUAAACUGAAAUAAUUAUGUAAUAAAUACUAGUGCUGAAGAAUAUGAUAAGAUAGUUCCAACUUUUCUGUUGUGUCGAGUGACUAGUGUUUUCGGUUUUCAAACACAAACUUGGCAUAUUAAUCUAUCUUCUUCUCAGGACAUACAUAAGUAACUAAACUAUAUCACAAAUAUAAAGUGUGGUAGAGAUUAGUCAAAGAAAAAACAUACGGGAUCGCGAGUAUAUGUGUUAUAAAUCAUAUUUCGAAGAUGAAGUCCAGAGACUUCAAUAGAUUUAUUGUGUAAAACAGAAUAUUACUUGGUUAUCAUCGCACUAACGGAUCUGCUUAUUCACAAAGUCGGCUAUAUUCGUAACGUGGAUAGCGCGUGACGCAUGCUGGCGAUGCUAGAGCGUUCUGUUCCCCACUCUUGAAUUCGAUCUAUCCUCCCCACCACGUAUAUAUUCGAUCCCCUACUGACGGUAAUGCAACGUACCGGACACGCGACAAAGAUGGGAAGAUUCGCGUGUACUCCAGCUCGAGCAAAACGGAACACGUGCCGCCGCGGUGGGGGCGGAGGAGGAGCGAGAAUUGCGGAGGGGUAGGGGAUAUCUAUUCACGACGAGAGGGGCAACUGACUACUCUCACCCUCGUGAUUACCACACCCCUUCUACCAACCAGUGGUGCGCGUUUUCUCCCACAUAGCGGCGCUAACCGACGGGAUCUUUGUUACUUGCCACGCUCGAACGGCGUUUCGGUCGUGAGUUUGGAUGCUGGUGCCGCCCAGCGGCGAUCGCGCGAAACUCCAAGGUCGUUGGGGUGGUGGAAAUAGAAUAGGUGGUGGGAUAGAAUGACGCGCCGAGAGAGGAAACCCCGUGCCCGGGGUAGGGUGAACGAAAGGGAACCUGGUGGGGCGAAUCCAGAGAACGUAUCCGACGGGGACAUGCUGCUCUCAGGACGCGCAGAACAUCAGAGUGGGUCGAGAAGGACGGGUCCUCUUUCUCUCUCCCUCUCUUUUUCUCCUUCUCCCUCUUUCUUUCGUCGCCUAUCGUUCUGCCUUUAUUUCUUUCUCACUUCCACGCUCCUCGUGGAGAGGCAGAGGAACAGAGCUCGAUCGGCGGGGCGAGAGCCGGCUUACUACGCGGCGAAACGCUACCACGGUGCUCAGUCUUCAGCGAUCAAACCGCCAGGCAGUGUGGACCUUCCCGAGUAGUCUCUGCUACUCUCUUCCUUCUCGUCUUUUUUCUGAUCGGCAGUCACGACAAUCGGCAGAUAACAUUAAAAAAACCGCAGCAGCUAUUCCUAUUAUUGGUUGAUUCAACGGUUUUCGAGCAGUUUUCGACUUGGCAGAUUUCAGUUAAACCAAGACAUAUGUCAAGAAGAAUUUAAGAAGAUUGGAAGAUGAUCAACGGUUUCGGUGCGAAGUGUGAAGAUACUCCGGAUGAGUUUCCAGAGUAACCCGUACAUUGAUCUUCGAAACUUGGAGCAAGAAAUUAUUCGUAUUGGAAUAACAGUGAAGAAAAAAAUUAGAAAUUAAUGAUGAAGUCGGAGUUAACAGAUAUUUGGAACUUGGACUUGGAUUUGGACUUGUUGAAGAACGGUGUCUGUAAUCAAUUGUCAAUCAAUUCAAGUCAGAAGAUGAAGCCUUAUGAGAAUAUCUUCGAUUAUCGGCUCAGAGCUCAGAAGAGAGAAUUAAGAAAAUAGCUCAACACGAGAUUAAAUGAAUGUAAUAUUACACGUGAGAAAAGCAUUUCCAUAAAGUUAGUAGUUAAUCCAUAAAGAUAGGUGUACGCUAUCACGCCAAAGUGCAAUCGCCAUAAUAUCGAUUUAAGGAAAUGCCUAACUAAAGUUUGUGUUGCACCGUGUUAAACUAUGUGAUGCGCUAAACUGCAUGAGUCUUCCGUAUUUUCCGUAUUCAUAAACGUAAGUUUGUGAUAUGGAAAUGGUGUAUAAAAUCGAAAUUAAAUAUCCAUCUUCAAGUACCAAGUACCUCUGCUCGUGAAAAUUGUAAAGGCAUCAUAGGUGCAACGUAACAGUGAUCACACUGCGAAAUUCAUCGUAUUGUGUUAUCCAAUGACGAUAUAACUACGGAAAGGAAGAAGAACUCUAAAGAAGCGCUGCAAGUGCGGGAAAAAGUGUAAAAUGUAAAAAGUGGAGUAAAGUGGAAUAAAACUGCACCAUGCCGUUCGCAAGCAUAAGUUUCGAACGUAAUAUCCACUAUCCGUAUAAAUUGACGAACUUGUUACUCGGACGUGUGAUCCGCCGACGGCACUUAUGAUUCGAGACGUUCAAUGAUCAGAUAGAGACAAGUGAGAUUCAAAGCCUGGAAAGAAGAUUGCAGCUGCUCAGUGGCACCGAUUGGUAAGAUGCUCGGAGAACCGUUAAGCUAUAACGCGAUAACUUGUUUUAACAAAAUGCAAUAAAAAAAAAAACCUACAAUAAACGUGCUAUUUCGUA